UACGUAGGGGGCGAGCGUUGUCCGGAGUUACUGGGCGUAAAGGGUGUGUAGGCGGUUCUUUUUUUUUUUAAGUUUGGUGUGAAAUCUCCCGCUCAACCGGGAGGGUGCGCCGAAUACUGAGGGACUAGAGUGUGGGAGAGGAAAGUGGAAUUCCUGGUGUAGCGGUGAAAUGCGUAGAUAUCAGGAGGAACACCGGUGGUGUAGACGGCUUUCUGGACCAUAACUGACGUGAGACACGAAAGCGUGGGUAGCAAACAGG
rnacentral:rRNA from 1 species